GAUCCUGGCUCAGGAUGAACGCUGGCGGCGUGCUUAACACAUGCAAGUCGAGCGAAGCGCUUAGGAAAGAUUCUUCGGAUGAUUUCCUAUUUGACUGAGCGGCGGACGGGUGAGUAACGCGUGGGUAACCUGCCUCAUACAGGGGGAUAACAGUUAGAAAUGACUGCUAAUACCGCAUAAGACCACAGCACCGCAUGGUGCAGGGGUAAAAACGUACCGGUGGUAUGAGAUGGACCCGCGU
rnacentral:rRNA from 1 species